GCCAAAAAUAAUAAUAAUGUUGCUACUGGGCCUAGCAGCAAAUAAACAAUGUAAGUUACAUUAGGGUUCAAACUGAUAAUGAAGUGGAUGUCAAAAUGGAAAACACACAUGCUUUCCAUUUCAUUUCAUUCAUUUGCAUUUUAGUAGGAUUUGGAAAACUAAUAAAAAUAGUUUUCCAGUGAUUAGUAAUAGUAUAGAUUUUAAAAGAAAUUGGAAAACUCUUCUCCACUUCUCCAUUUAGAUAUCUUUUCUCAACAAACAAUUAAAACUAUCUUUCUCAGUUUUGUUAGAGCAAUUUUCUGGAAAACAGGCCAAGAUUUCAACAGCUAAACAGCCCCCUAGUUUUUCUAUAAAUAUAGCUCUUGUAGUCGUCUGCUUCAUAAUGAAAAAACGCAAGUGCCUCUCUAUAGAGAUAGGCACAUUGCCAAAUAAUAUAGAAUUCUUCAUGUAGUGUUUUUCUAUUCUUUCAUGAUCGUUACUUCAGUCUCUGUGUAUGUGUGUGUGUCUAUGUGUGUGUGUGUGUUUCAUGAGUAAUUUUUUCAACACCUUUCCAUUCUUUCAGAUCUUAUUUAGGGAUUAGUAUUGUGUUUAGACAGCCUAGAAUAUCAAGAACAUUAUGAACAGCUUCCCAUGGUUGGGAGUGGCAGACAAUAAUGCGAAAAUUUUUGCUAGCUUGAAAUCUGUUUUAAAUAUAGGCCCUGAAGUGCCCAUUGGGCACUGUAAUUGACUACCUUCUGCUUUUUGCAAAAGCACCUGAUGUGAGAGAGGCUAGACUCUAGAGUGAUCUGCCCAUAACUACUCCAUGGUGAGCUAGGGUACAGGAUUAAGGGCUUGAAGCAAAGGAGUAGGGGUUUGUGGAUUUAAUUGGAACAAGGGAAAAGAAAGCGAGACAGAGAGAAAAAGAGAGAGAGAGA
rnacentral:misc_RNA from 1 species